UACAGAGGGGGCAAGCGUUAUUCGGAAUUAUUGGGCGUAAAGGGCGCGUAGGCGGCGUGACAAGUCACUUGUGAAAUCUCUGAGCUUAACUCAGAACGGCCAAGUGAAACUGUUGUGCUAGAGUGCAGAAGGGGCAAUCGGAAUUCUUGGUGUAGCGGUGAAAUGCGUAGAUAUCAAGAGGAACACCUGAGGUGAAGACGGGUUGCUGGGCUGACACUGACGCUGAGGCGCGAAAGCCAGGGGAGCAAACGGG
rnacentral:rRNA from 1 species